GGAUUGAACGCUGGCGGCAUGCCUAACACAUGCAAGUCGAACGGGAGUAGCAAUACUCUAGUGGUGGACGGGUGAGGAAUACGUAGGAAUUUGCCCUUAAGUGGGGGAUAACCCGGGGAAACCCGGAUUAAUACCGCAUGACCUCGAAAGAGCAAAGUGGGGGAUCGCAAGACCUCACGCUUUUGGAGAAGCCUACGUCGGAUUAGCUAGUUGGUGAGGUAAUGGCUCACCAAGGCGACGAUCCGUAACUGGUCUGAGAGGAUGAUCAGUCACACCGGAACUGAGACACGGUCCGGACUCCGUACGGGAGGCAGCAGG
rnacentral:rRNA from 1 species